UGCUGAGGUCCACUCCAGGCCCUGCUUGUCUGGGGUGCACCUCUAGCAGCUGUGGCACAGUGAGGGAUGCUACCAGUUUCUUUUUUUGCAUCUUUGUCCCAGAUGAUGCCUGCCAAAUGUCAGUCUUUUGGAUAUAGAGGGGUCAGGGAGCUGCUUGAGGAGACAGUCUGUACUUUAUAGUAGCUCAAUUGCUGAGCUGUGAUCUCUGUUGUUCAUUCAGGGCUGUUAGGCUGCUAUGUUUGAUUCUGCUGCAACAGAGCUCAUUAAAAAAAAACCCUUUUUUUCUCAAAUGCUCUGUGUUGGGGGGUUCGGGCUUUAUUUUUGGAUGUUCGUUGAGGUGUCCUGCCCAGCUAGGAGGCAGACUAGCCACUGUUUGCCUGCCGAGGCUCCGCCCUGCUGUUGUGUGGUUCGCCCUGUUGCUGCAGGCUCUGCUGUUCUGCUGUGGUCUCCGCCACGCCCUGCGGUGGAGUCUCUCUGUUGUCGCGGGUUGCCUCGGCAACAGCAGGCUGUGUCAGCAGUGGGCGUGUAUCUCAGUAGGGACGGGUUGCCUCGGCAACGGCUGGCUGCAUCAGCAGUGGGCGUGUAUCUCAGUUGGGGCAGGUUGCCUCGGUAAUGGUGGACGCCCCUCCCCCAUAGAGUGUCUCGGACCGUCUGCACGGGGAUUGUUUGAAAUCGCGGUUUUGUUUGUCCCACUGGGCUACCCCAAACGCUCUGUCCCUGCAAUCCCCUGGGCUGGCCCACUGUCCAAGUCUCGUUCAGUCUCAAGUCCAGCCCUCUCAAGUCUCAGGUUGCUGGUUCAACAGGGCACCUGGACAAGCGCUCCCUGUGGGGAGUGCUGGGUGGGGCCAGCUGCCACCACCCCGGCUGCCGGCUUCGCCGGGCAGAGGUACUGCCUGGCGUCCCACGUCUCCUUUAUACUUGGGAGUUUCCCCAUUCUGUGGGCAACAAAGAUCAGUCUGGAAAUGCAGCUCCGACUCACCUCUCCUCAGAUUCAACGAGAGCUCCCGCAAGCAUAGUUUUUAACAGAAAUUUAAAGUCC
rnacentral:lncRNA from 13 species